rnacentral:tRNA from 1 species
GUUAAUGAAGCAAAAUGGCCAUGCAAGAGACCUAAGCCCUCUACUCAAGGGGUUCAAGUCCCCUCAUUAACU